rnacentral:rRNA from 1 species
GAUGAACGCUGGCGGCGUGCCUAAUACAUGCAAGUCGAGCGAACAGACGAGGAGCUUGCUCCUCUGACGUUAGCGGCGGACGGGUGAGUAACACGUGGAUAACCUACCUAUAAGACUGGGAUAACUUCGGGAAACCGGAGCUAAUACCGGAUAAUAUAUUGAACCGCAUGGUUCAAUAGUGAAAGACGGUUUUGCUGUCACUUAUAGAUGGAUCCGCGCCGCAUUAGCUAGUUGGUAAGGUAACGGCUUACCAAGGCAACGGUGCGUAGCCGACCUGAGAGGGUGAUCGGCCACACUGGAACUGAGACACGGUCCAGACUCCUACGGGAGGCAGUAGUAGGGAAUCUUCCGCAAUGGGCGAAAGCUUGACGGAGCAACGCCGCGUGAGUGAUGAAGGUCUUCGGAUCGUAAAACUCUGUUAUUAGGGAAGAACAAAUGUGUAAGUAACUAUGCACGUCUUGACGGUACCUAAUCAGAAAGCCACGGCUAACUACGUG